GGAGAAGGUCAGAUGAUCGCCGGUUUGCUUUUUGCAGAUUGGAGGAAAGUCCGAGCUCCUCAGGGCAGGAUGGUCGCUAACGGCGACUGGAGGCGACUCUAAGGAAAGUGCCACAGAAAACAUACCGCCCGGCGCAAGCGGGGUAAGGGUGAAAAGGCGAGGUAAGAGCUCACCGCUUUUCCGGCGACGGAAAAGGCAGGGUAAACCCCAUCCGGAGCAAGACCAAAUAGGAGAACGUUUAAGGGCGGCCCGUCUGAUGUUCUCGGGUAGUGUCGCUAGAGGCGUAAGGCAACUUGCGUCCCAGAUGAAUGAUCAUCACCGCAGGAAGGGCAACCUGAGCGCGGGACAGAACUCGGCUUACGAUCUUCUCUUCGC
rnacentral:RNase_P_RNA from 1 species